rnacentral:rRNA from 1 species
UGCCAUCCGCCGCGGUAAUACGUGGGGAGCAAGCGUUGUUCGGAUUUACUGGGCGUAAAGAGCUCGUAGGUGGAUGUGUAAGUCGGAUGUGAAAGCCCAGGGCUUAACCUUGGAACUGCAUUCGAUACUGCAUGACUAGAGUGUGGUAGAGGGAAGUGGAAUUUCCGGUGUAGCGGUGAAAUGCGUAGAUAUCGGAAGGAACAUCAGUGGCGAAGGCGGCUUCCUGGACCAACACUGACGCUGAGGUGCGAAAGCGUGGGUAGCAAACAGGAUUAGAUA